rnacentral:lncRNA from 1 species
ACUGCUUCUAAAAAGUUCAUGGGAUGGAUGACAUCUCAAGGAAUGUCUGCCCCUCUCCUGCCCACAAUCUGGGACCUCCCAUAGAUCUCAGGAGAAAGAAAUGCAUCAUAUACUGCUAUUAGCAGGGUAUUAAAGGGAAACAGAGAGUGAAACUCCAAACAUAAUCUGUGCUCCCACCUAUGUUUGGCUGGCUCUGAAUUCUCUACAUUCCAUCUUUUACCUCAAUUGCCAUAGGAGAAUAUGAAGCGAUAUCAUAUAAAGCAGUCAGUUUUGUUUUAACUAGAGGUAUGUGGGAUGCUCCAAGACCCCAGCACAGCAGAAUAUCAUUAGCAAGUGAGUAAUAAACUAUCUCUAAAUUAGUUCUAUG